rfam:Schistosoma haematobium scaffold267_35, whole genome shotgun sequence.
AUCCAGCUGAAGAGUCCCAAAUAGGACGAAAUGCGCUUUCGUAU